GGCUGAGGUUGCGGUAUGCAUCAGUACCAUCCCGGAACAGGCAAUCGCCGGGGUGAAAAAGGGUAAACCGCCGAAGAGCCGUCCUUUUGCCAAAGAGGGCUGCUCUGGGGCUGCGCAGAAUAUGCGCGGCACUGUCAUCCCAUUGGGAUGGUGCGC
rnacentral:ncRNA from 1 species